rnacentral:rRNA from 1 species
CGGCGGACGGGUGAGUAACGCGUGGGCAACCUGCCCCGUGCCGGGGGAUACCGCCUGGAAACAGGCGCUAAUACCGCAUAAGCGCAUACAGCCGCAUGGCAGUAUGCGGAAAGCUCCGGCGGCACGGGAUGGGCCCGCGCCCGAUUAGCCAGUUGGCGGGGUAACGGCCCACCAAAGCGACGAUCGGUAGCCGGCCUGAGAGGGCGGACGGCCACAUUGGGACUGAGACACGGCCCAAACUCCUACGGAAGGCAGCAG